GGUCGCGUCGUUGUGUUCUUGUGUUCGUGCUAGCAACGCUGUUCGACCAUCAUGUUCUGUCUACGGGGGAGAAUAUUUAAUAUUUUACUGUAAAACGCCCCUCAAAUAUUCAAAUAUUGUCCAUAAUUUUACAAUAUAUGCUGCUAAGGAUAGUGCAAAAUAAUCUGUUACUUAAAAGUGUUGAAAAAACUAAACAUUUAUCGUUGGGCAAAGUGCAAAAAUCUAAUGUGUAUUCGCUUGUAUACAGGGGAUUUGAAACAGCCCCCAAAAAAUAUAAAUUGCAUAACAACGUCAGUGUGUAUGUCGCCGUCGUCGCAGUGUGCGUGUGUGUUUAUUGAGUGUGAGUGAGAGAAGGGGGGAAUUCUUGAUUUCUCCUUGCCAUGAGAGGUAGCAGGCACGAAUAAUACAAGAAAACUUAUUGUUACCGGAGUGGAGUGAAUGUGUCGCGUUCGUGUAUGUUUAUUAUUAAAACACACAAUUUGAACUCACCACGUACAAAUUACAAGUGAAACCCAGCACUUACCUACCUACCAAUCAACCAGCCAACAUAGCAACUGUCAUAUUUCAGUGCAUGUGGACAGCAAAGCGCCUUUGGAAGAAACAAAUAACCCCGAAAUAAACUAAAAUUAAUAAAAUUCCGUCCAAUGUUUUGAAUUGUGCAUAGUACUCUACCACCACCAUAACCACCUAACAGCUCAUUCAUAAAAAAAACCGAAGCAUAUGACCGAUGAGUGCCGUUUGUGUUUUUACUCAUAAAUUUUGUAAAAAUGGCUGGCUAGACAAUUAUUCUAAAUUUAAUGAAAUACAAGAACAAGUUUUGCACUAGAAAUACAAUACAUGCAAAUCUCUUGGAGCAAAAAUAAAUUGAGCCACGGAAGCAGUUGUCCAGCUGCUGCUAUUCUGCACCGAGGCACAUAAAGGGACUGUUGUUGGCAAAACAAAUGCUGAAUUUGGAGAAUAAAAAGAUUGCACUAUAAUGGAAGUUGUGGUAGCAGAAAACUAUUGUUGGAAUCCAAGAUUUUAGAUUGGAAUCAUCCCACCGCUAAAUUAGCAAAUUUACAAAAGUAUGGAAAAUAUUUUACAAUAACAAUGAAAUGCAACGUGGAAUUGUACUAGAAAAUUAUACAUAAAAAAGCAGAGAAAAAAAGUAAGAUAUCCAUCUGUCUCAAGCAAA